AUACGGAGGAUCCGAGCGUUAUCCGGAUUUAUUGGGUUUAAAGGGAGCGUAGAUGGAUGUUUAAGUCAGUUGUGAAAGUUUGCGGCUCAACCGUAAAAUUGCAGUUGAUACUGGAUAUCUUGAGUGCAGUUGAGGCAGGCGGAAUUCGUGGUGUAGCGGUGAAAUGCUUAGAUAUCACGAAGAACUCCGAUUGCGAAGGCAGCCUGCUAAGCUGCAACUGACAUUGAGGCUCGAAAGUGUGGGUAUCAAACAGGAUUAGAUACCCUGGUAGUCCACACGGUAAGCGAUGAAUACUCGCUGUUUGCGAUAUACUGCAAGCGGCCAAGCGAAAGCGUUAAGUAUUCCACCUGGGGAGUACGCCGGCAACGGUGAAACUCAAAGGAAUUGACGGGG
rnacentral:rRNA from 1 species